rnacentral:rRNA from 1 species
ACGAACGCUGGCGGCGUGCUUAACACAUGCAAGUCGAACGGAAAGGCCCUGCUUUUGUGGGGUGCUCGAGUGGCGAACGGGUGAGUAACACGUGAGUAACCUGCCCUUGACUUUGGGAUAACUUCAGGAAACUGGGGCUAAUACCGGAUAGGAGCUCCUGCUGCAUGGUGGGGGUUGGAAAGUUUCGGCGGUUGGGGAUGGACUCGCGGCUUAUCAGCUUGUUGGUGGGGUAGUGGCUUACCAAGGCUUUGACGGGUAGCCGGCCUGAGGGGGUGACCGGCCACAUUGGGACUGAGAUACGGCCCAGACUCCUACGGGAGGCAGCAGUGGGGAAUAUUGCACAAUGGGCGGAAGCCUGAUGCAGCAACGCCGCGUGCGGGAUGACGGCCUUCGGGUUGUAAACCGCUUUCGCCUGUGACGAAGCGUGAGUGACGGUAAUGGGUAAAGAAGCACCGGCUAACUACGUGCCAGCAGCCGCGGUGAUACGUAGGGUGCGAGCGUUGUCCGGAUUUAUUGGGCGUAAAGGGCUCGUAGGUGGUUGAUCGCGUCGGAAGUGUAAUCUUGGGGCUUAACCCUGAGCGUGCUUUCGAUACGGGUUGACUUGAGGAAGGUAGGGGAGAAUGGAAUUCCUGGUGGAGCGGUGGAAUGCGCAGAUAUCAGGAGGAACACCAGUGGCGAAGGCGGUUCUCUGGGCCUUUCCUGACGCUGAGGAGCGAAAGCGUGGGGAGCGAACAGGCUUAGAUACCCUGGUAGUCCACGCUGUAAACGGUGGGUACUAGGUGUGGGGUCCAUUCCACGGGUUCCGUGCCGUAGCUAACGCUUUAAGUACCCCGCCUGGGGAGUACGGCCGCAAGGCUAAAACUCAAAGGAAUUGACGGGGCCCCGCACAAGCGGCGGAGCAUGCGGAUUAAUUCGAUGCAACGCGUAGAACCUUACCUGGGUUUGACAUGGAUCGGGAGUGCUCAGAGAUGGGUGUGCCUCUUUUGGGGUCGGUUCACAGGUGGUGCAUGCCUGUCGUCAGCUCGUGUCGUGAGAUGUUGGGUUAAGUCCCGCAACGAGCGCAACCCUUGUUCACUGUUGCCAGCACGUUAUGGUGGGGACUCAGUGGAGACCGCCGGGGUCAACUCGGAGGAAGGUGGGGAUGACGUCAAGUCCUCAUGCCCCUUAUGUCCAGGGCUUCACGCAUGCUACAAUGGCUGGUACAGAGAGUGGCGAGCCUGUGAGGGUGAGCGAAUCUCGGAAAGCCGGUCUCAGUUCGGAUUGGGGUCUGCAACUCGACCUCAUGAAGUCGGAGUCGCUAGUAAUCGCAGAUCAGCAACGCUGCGGUGAAUACGUUCCCGGGGCUUGUACACACCGCCCGUCAAGUCAUGAAAGUUGGUAACACCCGAAGCCGGUGGCCUAACCGUUGUGGGGGAGCCGUCGAAGGUGGGACUGGUGAUUAGGACUA